rnacentral:lncRNA from 1 species
AAUGUUGGGAAUUGUCCCAAAUUCCUAAUUAGUAAAUAUUCCUUUUUGUAAAGAAUAUUGUAUAGAAUAUUUCUAGGUUGAUAUAUUAUUGUAAUAUUAGACUUCCUUAUAGAAUAAGGAAGGUUGUUGGAAAUAUCUCUAUAAAUAUUCUAGGUCAUGAGGGGAAAAAGUUAUGAGAUGGAGAUGGGCCUAUAGAGACUAUACGAGGUGGAUAGAGAUGUGAGGAAGAACGGGAGAUACCUGGUGGAGCGAGAGGGCUCGUAGUAAGGUAUGGAUACAAGGAGUGGGGAAACAUGAGAUGUUUCGGGAACCCAAUAGUUGUAUCUGGUUUUAUCCUCUGUAAUAUUCUCUAUUGUAUAGUGGAAUUAUUCUCUCUCAUCCGUGGACGUAGGCAUGGUUGGCCGAACCACGUUAAAACCUCGUGUAUCGUAUGUGUGAUUGUUUUAUCUUUGUGUUCUUGAACUAACAUUGUUGGCAUCAAAGCUUCCGUUGGCACAACAAUUGGUAUCAGAGCUUGGGUUGAAGAUUUCUGGAAGAGUAAAAGAUCACAAAGCACACAAGAUGAAAACAAAAGGAAUUUUCACUGAAGGUGGAGUUGAUUGCUAUUUCGUGGUGAUAUGAUACAAAAAGGUUUGUGUCAUGGAGAGAUUGAAGAUUAACUUCAUGUAAUUUGGUCCAAGGUGGAGAUUGUUAGGAAGUGUUCCAAAUUCCUAAUUAGUAUAGAUUCCUUUCUUUGUAAAGAAUAUUAUAUAGAAUAUUUCUAGGUUGAUAUAUUAUUGUAAUAUUAGACUUCCUUAUAGAAUAAGGAAGGUUGUUGGAAAUAUCUCUAUAAAUAUUCUAGGUCAUGAGGGGAAAAAGUUAUGAGAUGGAGAUGGGCCUAUAGAGACUAUACGAGGUGGAUAGAGAUGUGAGGAAGAAUGGGAGGUACCUGGUGGAGCGAAAGGGCUCGUAGUAAGGUAUGGAUACAAGGAGUGGGGAAACAUGGGAUGUUUCGGGAACCCAAUAAUUGUAUCUGGUUCUAUCCUCUGUAAUAUUCUCUAUGGUAUAGUGGAAUUAUUCUCUCUCAUCCGUGGACGUAGGCAUGGUUGGUCGAACCACGUUAAAACCUCGUGUACCGUAUAUGUGAUUGUUUUAUCUUUGUGUUCUUGAACUAACAUCGUUGGCAUCAAAGCUUCCGCUGGCACAACAACUGGUAUUAGAGCCUAGGGUUAGGUUGAGUGGGAGCAAUGGCAGAGGAAGCAAGAAAGGCGUCUGGAAUAGAAAAGUUUGAUGGCACAGACUUUGCGUAUUGGAGGAUGCAGAUUGAAGAUUAUCUCUAUGGGAG